AACGAACGCUGGCGGCAUGCCUAACACAUGCAAGUCGAACGAAACCUUCGGGUCUAGUGGCGCACGGGUGCGUAACGCGUGGGAACCUGCCCUUAGGUUCGGAAUAACUCCCCGAAAGGGGUGCUAAUACCGGAUAAUGUCUUCGGACCAAAGAUUUAUCGCCUUUGGAUGGGCCCGCGUUGGAUUAGCUAGUUGGUAGGGUAAAAGCCUACCAAGGCGACGAUCCAUAGCUGGUCUGAGAGGAUGAUCAGCCACACUGGGACUGAGACACGGCCCAGACUCCUACGGGAGGCAGCAGUGGGGAAUAGUGGACAAUGGGCGAAAGCCUGAUCCAGCAAUGCCGCGUGAGUGAUGAAGGCCUUAGGGUUGUAAAGCUCUUUUACCCGGGAUGAUAAUGACAGUACCGGGAGAAUAAGCCCCGGCUAACUCCGUG
rnacentral:rRNA from 1 species